rnacentral:rRNA from 1 species
CCCAGCUCGUCAUGCUAGAGCACGUUUUCAAUGGGCUUCUGAAUGACAAGGCGACGACGCAUUCGUAUGUCAUCCAUAUCAACUUUCGAUGCCAUAUACUGCGCCUAACAAGGUGAUCACGGGUAACGGGGAAUCAGGGUUUGAUUCCGGAGAGGGAGCAUGAGAAAUGGCUACCACAUACAAGGAAGACAGCAGGCGCACAAAUGACACACUCCCAACGCGGGAAGGUAGUGACG